AUUGAACGCUGGCGGCAUGCUUUACACAUGCAAGUCGAACGGCAGCACGGACUUCGGUCUGGUGGCGAGUGGCGAACGGGUGAGUAAUACAUCGGAACGUGCCCAGUUGUGGGGGAUAACUACUCGAAAGAGUAGCUAAUACAGCACGAGAACUGAGGUUGAAAGCAGGGGAUCGAAAGACCUUGCGCAACUGGAGCGGCCGACGGCAGAUUAGGUAUUUGGUGGGAUAAAAGCUUACCAAGCCGACGAUCUGUAGCUGGUCUGAGAGGACGACCAGCCACACUGGGACUGAGACACGGCCCAGACUCCUACGGGAGGCAGCAGUGGGGAAUUUUGGACAAUGGGCGAAAGCCUGAUCCAGCAAUGCCGCGUGCAGGAUGAAGGCCUUCGGGUUGUAAACUGCUUUUGUACGGAACGAAAAGCUUCGGGCUAAUACCCUGGAGUCAUGACGGUACCGUAAGAAUAAGCACCGGCUAACUACGUGCCAGCAGCCGCAGUAACAC
rnacentral:rRNA from 1 species